rnacentral:rRNA from 1 species
CGGAGGGUGCAAGCGUUAUCCGGAUUCACUGGGUUUAAAGGGUGUGUAGGCGGGUAUUUAAGUCAGUGGUGAAAUCUCCAGGCUCAACCUGGAAACUGCCAUUGAUACUAUUUAUCUUGAAUAUCGUUGAGGUUGGCGGAAUAUAUCAUGUAGCGGUGAAAUGCAUAGAUAUGAUAUAGAACACCGUUUGCGAAGGCAGCUAACUAAGCGAUUAUUGACGCUGAGGCACGAAAGCGUGGGGAUCAAACAGGAUUAGAUACCCUGGUAGUCCACGCCCUAAACUAUGAUUACUCGACAUACGCGAUACACAGUGUGUGUCUGAGCGAAAGCAUUAAGUAAUCCACCUGGGAAGUACGUCCGCAAGGAUG